CACAACCCCCUAUUCCCUUUCUUUCCUUUUCUCUUUUUCUUCCAUUCCUCCCUUCUCAUCACACACGCACCACCCUCUCCAUUUCUUCCUGUCUCUUUUCUUCAUCACACACACGCACACCCCCAGCCAUGAGAGACCGAUUGAGAGAGAGAAAGAACCGGUAUAAGCUUGAGAACCCGUUGAACCCAUGAACCCGAAACCAACAAAGCGAGACCCGAUCCUUCGGUGGGUUGUUCAUGGGUCGACACCAGCAUGGCCAAAGGUGCGAUUUUCAGGGAUUUUCGGUGGAAUUUUCGGUGUAGAAUGAAAAUCCCCUAUGCACGUGUCAUGAUUGGAGACUUCAACUUGUUAUCCAAUGUAGAGUUCAAGUAAAUAGAACACAGGGAGUAUUCGAGUCUUAAGUCCUAUGCAGCCAAAUGUUCCUUUGGCUGCAGGUAUCCCAGUCGUAGUUGAUGAUGUUGUAGAAGUAUGCUUGAGAUAUUAUGACUGAAGCACGCCGCGACGGUUGUAAUUGUCGGACCAUGGGUUGUCCACUAUUUUAUAGGUUUGUUUUAGCUUGUGACGCUUGUGUCACCUGUUAAUGUACAAAGUCAUUUAUGUUAUGUAUUUAAUUUGAGGAAAUAUUUAGUCAAAUAGUUAUUUAAUGGCUCUUUGUUGUAAAUAUUUGUGAUA